rnacentral:rRNA from 1 species
CACCGCCCGUCACACCAUGGGAGUCAGUUGCUCCAGAAGUGCCUGCGCUAACCGCAAGGAGGCAGGGUACCAAGGAGUGGUUGGUGACUGGGGUGAAGUCGUAACAAGGUACCC